UUUUUUUUUUUUCUUUUUAGGGCCGCCCCCUUGGCAUAUGGAGGUUCCCAGGCUAGGGGGAGAACCGGAGCUAUAGGCCACAGACACAGCCACGCCAGAUCCCAGCCACGUCUGCGACCUACACCACAGCUCACAGCAAUGCCAGAUCCGUCACCCACUGAGUGAGGCCAGGGAUUGAACCCGUGUCCUUAUGGAUACUCGUCAGGUUCAUUACCACUGAGCCACAAUGAGAACUCCUACAAUUGACUUUUUAUUUUAAUUCCAUAUGUAAGUGAUACCAUGUGGUAUCUGCCUUUCUCUGUCUGGCUUAUUUCACUUAGCUUAAUGUCCUUAAGUCCCAUUCAUGUUGUUGUAAAUGUCAGGAGAUCCUUCUCUCAUGUGGCUGAGUAGUAUUCCAUUGUGUGUGUGUGUGUGUGUGUGUGUGUGACAACACAUGUCAGUGUUUCACAACCUCCUUCUCAGUUCAUCCAUUGAUGAACAUGCAGUUGUUUCCAUAUCUUGCCUGUUGUGAAUCAGGCUGCAGUGAACACGAGGGAGCAGAUAUAGGUACUUCUUCCAGACAUGGACUUCAUUCCCUUUGGAUGAAUACCCAGCCGUGGAUGUGCUGGAUCAUACGGUAAUUCUAUUUUUAAUUUUUUGACGAUCCUUCAUACCUCCAUACUGUUUUCUUAGGAAUAAAUUAUUGAUACAUGUAAAAAAGGCAGUUGAAUCUCUGGGAAUUCUGCUGAGUGGAAAAGUCAGCCUCGAAAUACUGCACGAUUAGAUAUGGCAUGAUGCCAUUGAUAUAUAUGUUUGAAAAGACAAAAUUCUAGAAAUGGAAAACAGAUGAGCGAAUGCCAAGAGUGAGGGACUGGGGGAGGGAAGAGGAGGAGCCUGGUGUCUCGAUCAAAGGAUGACAUGAGAAAUUCUUGGGGUGGUAGAAUUGUUCGGUGCCUUGAUUGCGACGGACACAGGAAUCUGCACAUCUCAUAAAAUCAUAUAAAAUUAAAUGCACACAUAUACACACAGAGACACAAAUGAGUUACAAGUACAGCUGGGGAAACGGAACAGAAUCAGUGGAUUAUGUCAACAUCAAUAUCCUGGUGUAAAAUUCCACUAUAGUUUUGUAAGGUAUUGCCACUGGGGGGAAUGAGGCGAACAGUCUUCUUUAUUUUUCUUACAACGGUGUAUGAAUCUGUAAUUUCGUUUCGUCUUUUUAGGGCUGCACCCGAGGCAUAUGGAGGUUCCCAGGCUAGGGGUCCGAUGGGAGCUGCAGCCGCCAGCCUACAUCACAGCCACAGCAACAGGGGAUCCGAGCCAUGUCUGCGACCUACACCACAGCUCACAGCAAUGCUGGAUCCUUAACCCACUGGGCAAGGCCAGGGAUGGAACCUGCGUCCUCAGGGAUGCUAGUCGGGUUUGCUAACCACUGAGCCGCGACAGGAAUUCUGAUUCUAUAAUUAUCUCAAUAAAACUUUGAACUAAAAUCAUCUUAUGAAGAGGCUGUGAUGGUAUGGGAUAAAUUGUUUAUAAUGUAGUCAGAGGCUAUAUAAAAAGUUAAAAUAUUCAUAAAAUUUAUAUAUAGCAUGAGUCUGUGUUUCAAAAAAGGCAAAAAAAAAAGGUAUGUAAAAUUUAAAAGUGAAGGAGAGAUGGGAAGGCCAAAGAAAACCAAAAAAAAAAACAAAAAAACAAAAAACAAAAAACAAAAAAUAAGAAAAAAAAACUGUUAAAAUCUCACUUUCUAAAUUUUCUGUAAUGAGCACAUAAUAUUUCUAUAAUAGAUGAAAGAAAUUUAAGAUGACAUUUUAUUUACUCUUAAUUUGUACUAUGUAUUAGCAUGAUUUGAGACCUAUGUCCUCAGUUAAGGAAACUCAGUCUGAAUGAAAUAUUUAUAGUCUGACUGAAGAAGCAGAACUCUUCAAAUGUUGCAUUUUAAUAAAAAAAAAAUUUCAGGGAGAUGAGAAUGGAGGUGGGGAGGCAUAUUACUACUCUUUCCUGGGUCUUUGGAACUUGUGGCAUAUAGGAAUCACCCACCUUGCUCUUGCUUAAGGCUUCUUAUGCGCCCCCAUGGCGGUUUCCUUUCCACUAAUGCCUUUGGGUGUGGCUUGAAAUUAUUUAACUCUGAAGACUCAGAAUUUCAAAUUGGUCUGCCUGUUCCUAGAGGCAAAAAUUCCUCCACAGUAAGAAGAUUUCUCUGGGGAAAUUUUGAAAGCAAGGAGAGAUGCUAAAGGAGUUUGGAGAAGAUUGUUUUCUGCAUGGAAAGUUCUGAGUGCCAUUAAGUUGUACCCCAAAUUUAGAAAGGCUAGAAAAUAUUUCUGGGAAAAUAUGGUCUCCCAUCAACACAAAGAAUAGAGUUUCAUUUCUGAAUGGAAGAAAACGAUCACCGAAUUACAGUCGUUAGAGGCAGAAGGCUCUUAAGAGACAGGUCACCGAGUUGAACAGUACCAGGUGACCCCAUUCACAUUUAGUCUAUGGACAUGGCUUGGAAGUUGUGCAGUGUACAACUUGCACGACUGUAUUCAUUGAUUCUGCUACAUCCAGUCAUUACCACCACUGUUCCCCCUCCUCCCUCACUACUUUUAGAUAUAAUUCUCUUUUAGAGAGGAGAAAAGUGAAGCCCAGAAAGGGGAAGAAAAUUGUCCAAAAUCACACAGCUAACCACAGAACCCAAGUUCUUGAAUUUUAGGUUAAUAGUCUUUCCUGUCUACAAUACCACCUGGAAGAAAUGUUUUUACUAAAAAAAAAAAUCAUUCUGAAAAAAUUUCUUUCAAAUCUACAUGGCUGUAAACUAACGAGGGCUAUUUUUGUAAUGUCAAAAUAGGAGUCAAAUUGAGUCUGCAGAUUCUAAAGACAAUUUUCUCACGUAUGAAAUUGAGAUAAUAAUAGUUGCCUUUUAUGGUUGGCGGAUAAAUGAGUUAAUAUGUGUAGAACACUUAGAAUAUAGAAAAUAUAUAAGUAUCAGACUUUGUAGGUAAGUGAGAUGUGGACUUUUGGGAGAACAUGCACCUUUCAUUUAUGUGUUCACAUGACCUGGCAUGGUGUCAAGUGCUCUAUUAAUGCUGUUUGAUGACGGAUGGAUGAAUGGAUGGGAAGCUCGAGUGAGGGAUGAAUGCAUGCAUGGGUACAAGGACGCAUGGAUGUAUGGUUGGAUAAAUGGCAUCUCCAUCCUUCCAAGGCAUUCAGGUCAACG
rnacentral:lncRNA from 1 species